rnacentral:rRNA from 1 species
GAUGAACGCUGGCGGCGUGCCUAAUACAUGCAAGUCGAGCGAACGGACGAGAAGCUUGCUUCUCUGAUGUUAGCGGCGGACGGGUGAGUAACACGUGGAUAACCUACCUAUAAGACUGGGAUAACUUCGGGAAACCGGAGCUAACACCGGAUAAUAUUUUGAACCGCAUGGUUCAAAAGUGAAAGACGGUCUUGCUGUCACUUAUAGAUGGAUCCUCGCUGCAUUAGCUAGUUGGUAAGGUAACGGCUUACCAAGGCAACGAUGCAUAGCCGACCUGAGAGGAUGAUCGGCCACACUGGAACUGAGACACGGUCCAGACUCCUACGGGAGGCAGCAGUAGGGAAUCUUCCGCAAUGGGCGAAAGCCUGACGGAGCAACGCCGCGUGAGUGAUGAAGGUCUUCGGAUCGUAAAACUCUGUUAGUAGGGAAGAACAUAUGUGUAAGUAACUGUGCACAUCUUGACGGUACCUAAUCAGAAAGCCACGGCUAACUACGUG